GUCCCUGUAGCGCAAUGGAUAGCGCGUUGGAGUUCUAAACCAGAGUCGUGAGGUGGAAUCCCACCUGGGAUG